UUACAUUAUGUCGCGUCGCUGUAGUCGCACGAGUAGCCUAUAGCUUGUUCCUUUGACGUUAGCGCCGGACGGGUGAGUAACACGGGGGCCACCUACCCUAUAGUUUGGGAUAACUCCGGGAAACCGGGGGUAAUACCGAAUAAUCUCUUUUGCUUCAUGGAGAUAGACUGAAAGAUGGUUUCGGCUGUCGAUUUUGUAGGGGUCCGUCCCUCUCGCGAGAGGUGGAGCGUUUGUGUCGCCCAUUGUAGAAGGUGUGUAGGCCAGGUGAGAAGGGGUUGAUCGUUUGACGUCAUCCCCACCUUCCUCCUCCUUGUCGGAGGGAGUCACCGGGAGAGUGCCCAAAAUGAACGAUAGCCACUAAGAUCAAGGCGUGCGGACGUUGGGAAGACUUUAGCCCCGAUCUCACGUCUCGAGCGGGAGGAAAAACAUGCAGCAUCAGUUAGCGUUCCCUCGGGGGGGCCAAAAUUAAAAAACCACCGGGUAAAAAGGGGCGACAAGCCCCGGUAAGGCUUUGCGGGUUGGUUUUGAACUGAAAUAAUUGGUCCAAAGCUUGGGCCGGCCCCCCCUUAAAUCCUUUGAGGUUAAAGCCUUGGGUCCGUCCUCCCGGGGCCGUGGGCAUUUGGGGGAAAUUGGCUGCAGAAAGGGAAGGAAAACUCCCUAAGAUUAGGGACUAAUGGUUACGGCUUGGAAGGAAACAGCAAUUGUAAACGGGAUUUUUCUGGCCGCUUACGCGCCCUAACGCCCGAAACGACCAGAGAAACGCCGUACUAGAUACGCGGGUAGCCCACGCUGUACACAUUUAGCCGCUAACGCGUGAGAAGUGCUUCCUCCCUCUUAGUGCCUGCAGCUAACCCAGUUAGCCACUGCACGCCUGCAGGAGUACAGUCGUGAGGCAUUGCAACUCAAACGUAAUGAACGGCGUCCGCCACAUUCGAUGCCAGCAUAUUGGCUGAACUACGAUGCACCGUACGAUCUACGCAGGCCUUGGACAUCCGGUGACAUUGCUGAUAAUAAAGUUACCCUUCCAGGGUUCAACCGGU
rnacentral:rRNA from 1 species